rnacentral:lncRNA from 1 species
AUCCUGGACAGGGAUCAUGUCUCAGGACCUGUGGGUCAGCUGACGGCCUCAGUGAAUAUACCUGUGUACUGGUGACACAAAUAGUCAGCACCCUGAGGGAGAGGCAGGAUCUGUCACCACUAAUUGGCUUCCUCCUGCCCAUCCUUGCUUUAUUGGGGCAUGGCUGAUUAAGCACAGAUUGGAGGACUGGAAUCUCACAGGGACCCAGGCUUCCUUGAUGCCCACAUGUCCUGAAGGGCCACCUCUGACCCUCCUACCCAGCCAUGAUCACCCAGCUUGCUGAGCAGCUCUGCCUCCUGGGUACCUUGUCACCCUGACACCCUACUGAUGCCUGCCUCCAUAGAAGCCACCUGCUUCCUGUGGGUAACAUUUCCUUGCUGUGUCUGUGGGAAAGUUUCCGACUGUGACCCAGGACCUGCUUCUGUUUGUCAUUUUGCCAACCACAGGACUCCUCCACAGCAGCCAUGGAAGACAGGCUGAAGGUAAGAGUCAUUCAUCUUUUAGAGUGGGGAGUUCUGAUGUGGCAGGGUGGGGAGGGC